rnacentral:rRNA from 1 species
AACGAACGCUGGCGGCAUGCCUAACACAUGCAAGUCGAACGAGACCUUCGGGUCUAGUGGCGCCCGGGUUCGUAACGCGUGGGGAUCUGCCCUUGGGUUCGGCAUAACAGUUGGAAACGGCUGCUAAUACCGGAUGAUGACGUAAGUCCAAUGAUUUAUCGCCCAAGGAUGGGCCCGCGUAGGAUUAGCUAGUUGGUGCGGUAAAGGCUCACCAAGGCGACGAUCCUUAGCUGGUCUGAGAGGAUGAUCAGCCACACUGGGACUGAGACACGGCCCAGACUCCUACGGGAGGCAGCAGUGGGGAAUAGUGGACAAGGGGCGAAAGCCUGAUCCAGCAAUGCCGCGUGAGUGAUGAAGGCCUUAGAGUUGUAAAGCUCUUUUACCCGGGAUGAUAAUGACAGUACCGGGAGAAUAAGCCCCGGCUAACUCCGUG